UUUAAAGCCAUGAUCAUUACGGAGAGGGUAGUGGGAGAGGAGAGGUUCCGGGAGUGACCCCUGGGCCUGCUCCAGUGUCGCAGGUUUGGGAGAAGAAUAGCCACCAGGGGAGACUGAGACGGAGUGGCCGGGGAGACGGAGAAAAACCAGGAGACCACGGGGUGAAGAAACGCCCGGAGCCAGAGGGAUGAAUGUGGUCAAAGCUGCUAUUCAAGUGAGGCGGGGCUGAGCGAAGGCUUCCACGGAGGCAGCAGAGUCCCGGUUUUCACUCACGACCAGCUUUGCGAGGCUCUGCCUGAGAGAGGUGGCCCCGCGCACGUCAGCUGUGGACGAGGGGGACACGUGCUCCAGCAUGGCCAUCCCGCUCCACCUUCUGCAUUCAUCGCAGGGGACGAGGGCUCAGUGCAGGCUGCAGCUGUCCCGGCAUCUCCUGAGCUCUGCCCUCCCUCUGGAUCCCCACUCCCUCAGGGCGGAGGCGGACAGCAGGCUGAAGGGAGAACUUCAGUCAGUGGGAAACUUCAUGGAGCAACAGCUGGUGAAGAAGAUGAGGCUCAGAGAAGUUAAGUACCACCCAAGGCCCCAAAGCUAGUAAGUCGCAAGCCAGAAGCUUCAGUGUACACUGACCUGAGGUAGAAAAUGCUGACAUCUUUGUUCCUUUGGGUCCAGAACUCCAAAAGAGAUAAGCCCCCAGACCUUUGGUGGUGGCGGUGCAAACGCGCCUCUCAGAUUUCAGACUGGUCCCCGCUACUGUGCCCGGAUCAUGGCCAUCACUGUUUGCACUGAGGCCCUCAGGCUGCUUCCAGCCAUUGACUCCGGCAGGUCCCCUCUUGGAGAUGCAAGACCCCCCCCGACAGACAAGUUGGCACAAGGAUUCCCCAAGGGCUUGCUACUUUCUUAGAUCUGAACCACAACCUGAGACUCUUCACCCCACCUUCUGUCCUGCCCUCUCUCCUCCGCAGGGUCCAAACUACGUCACAGUCUGACGUCCCUCCCAACUUCCCCCUGGCUCCCCGCCCAUCUUCCCUCACAGGUGUCCCCCAUAAAUCUCUUGCACAUAGAGUCCUGUCUUGGUGUCUGCUUCUUCAAGGACCAGAACGAAUGUAAGUAGUCUGAGGAAACAGUGGUAAGAUGGGGAUUUGGGGCUGUCCCACUCAGAGGCAAUGGGGAGGAAGAUGUUGUCCUGAUUGAUAGGAGGCCCCCAGAGAGUCCUUAGAACAAGGCAGCAGCUCAAAUGCUAAACAUUUCACCAGCGAGGACCUGGGAAAAUUUCCUGGAGGAGAGGAGUGCUGGCAGGUGUGAUAAUUCAAGCAUUUGAAAAAUAGAGGGGCAAAGAUGCCUUCAAAAAAUUGGCUGGUUACUGCAGAGGGAAGAAGGACUGCGGGCCACUAAUGAGCAGUGGAGGGGUAGGCGUGGAGGCCGAGAGCCCUGCGGUGGCUUACAAAGAGGCCCUUAUCUCUGGCAGUGGAGGGCAGAUACGGCUGAGUGGCGGGCUGAAGACAAACCGUUAGCGUUGCAGAGCGCCAGAUAAGUCUGAAGGCUCAGCCAAGGCGGUUAUGAGAAGAUCGGGCCCUGGUGGGGAAAAUCUGGACCCCUGACCCAUGAGAUAAAGACAUCUGGAUGGAUGCCCUGAGGCCGCCGCGCAGCCUCCCUGACCCUCUGAGCUUGCAGAGGUGGCCCGCCCUUCUGCAGAAGAGCUACCCCUCUGCAGUGCUGAAAGAUUCCCAAGAGGCCUCGCCCCGGCAGGGGCCCUCUCAGUGGCUGCCCCACUGCCUCUCCUGGGUGCCAGGGACAAGCAUUAGGGUUGAAUUCCAGAAUAAUCUGGCUGCAGACAUGCUGGGCCUGAUAAGGGAGGAAAGAGACUAUAUCAUGAAAGAAUGGUAACUCUCAUGGAUCCUGGAACAAACCAGGGAUGCUCCUGGGACUGGAUUUUGCGAAUGCCUGAUUAAGGAGGCUGGAAUGUAAGACUGGCUAACAAGAAUCCAUCGGCUGGAGGGCACUUUCUUGAGACGCAAGAUUUAAUAUCCUAGCGAGGAUACCAGGGGAUGGGGCAGACUCUGCUAGGGUGGCUCUUAGAAGUCUGGAAAAAGUAGUGGCUAACACUCAGUGCAGUGGAAAUACCUGAGUUCUCCUGGCAGAUGGUAGAGAAGAAGUUAAAAAAGCUGAGGAAAGUGGACACGUUGGAACGGAUUUGUUAUCUAAGGCCAGUAAUGACAGGCAAGGACAGAGGGGCAGGCAAGGGGGCUUGACCCACAGAAAGCUGUGGAGAUGGUGAAUGGAGCAGGGUAUCCCCAGGAGCAAACCAGAGGGGCAGCCAAGAAGCCUCUGCUUAAUAUCUACAGCCAGAAAAGCAGACAGGAGUGGGGGAGCAGAAGGCAGGGGCAAUAGGAGGUCACCGUCCCUUGCUCAGUUCCCAGACCUGAACCAAUUUUCAGAUAUGAAACCCGCUGACCGAAGAGGUGGCCAGAUCUCUAGGAAUAGGACCCUGCCAAACCUCAAUCUGACCUCUGCAGAAAUUGGACGGAUCCUGGAGGAAGACCGCAGACCGCCACGGCUUAACCAAGGGGGAGCCCUGCUCGCAGCUGCUGUGCCUGACGUGGAGUCCUUGCCGGAGCAGGUUCACGAGGCCUUAGGUAUGUGGCCAGCAGUAAUUCAGUGCCUGUGGUCUUUUCCAUUCCAAUUAGAAAAGAGGAUCAGAAACAGUUCACAUUCACAUGGGAUGGACAACAAUAUUCAUUUACACUUUUGCCUCGGGGCUAUGUUAACUGUCUCUCUGACUUAAUAUAAUCCCAAGAGAUCAGGACCAUGAUCCCACAGAACAUCACCCUGAUCCAUUGCAUCGCUGCGCCAUGCUGGUUAGACAGGAUGAGCAAGAGGUGUCCCUAUGCUGGAAGCCGCGGCUAAGUCACAUGCACUCCAGAGUGCGGCAUAUAAAACCUAUGACGAUUCAAAGACCUACCACUUCAAUGAAGUUUUGAAGGGGUUCAGUGGUCAGGGGGAUGCCAAGAUAUCCCCUCCCAAGUAAACGAAAUGGCUGCAUUUUGUAUUUCUUACCACAAGAAAGCACAAUGCCUGGUAACCCUCUUGGGGUUAGAGACAACCCAUUAUUCUGGGUGACAAGGAAGGCUGCCAGCUGUAGGUGGGCCCCAGGACGGGAAGAGGCUCUGCUGAAGGUUUAGGCUGCAGUGCAAGCAGUCCUGCCAUUUGGGUUAUGCUGUUUGGCAGACUCUCUGGUGCUGGAAUAGUCAAUAGUGGGAGAGGGAAAAGGUGUAGUUGGAGCUUAUGUCAAGUCCCAGUGGGAGAAGUGUAGAGCAGGACCCUGGGAUUCCAUGGCAAGGCCACACCAUCGGCAACAGAGGGCUGCAUGCCUUUUGAGAAACUGUUUCUGGCAUGUUACUGGGGUCUGGUAGAGACAGAACACUCGCCCAGGGCACACCAAGUGGGACAUCUGAAACUGCCCUCUGAGCUGGGUUCUGUUGGAUGCAUCAAGUCAUAAAGUCAGAUGGGGCUGACAGCAGUCCGUCAUAAGACAGAAAUGCUGCCUCUGGGACUGAGCCAGACUGAGGCAGAGGGCAUGAGUAAACUGCAUGAGGACAUAGCCAGAGCCCAUUCUCUGGCUUGUACUUAUGGUCGCAUGGAGGGUUCUGUACAACCAACUGAAAGAGGAGGAAAAAGCCUGAGCUUGGUUUAUGGAUGGGUCAAAGUGGCACAUGGGUACAAGCUGAAGAUGGACAGUGGCUGUAUGACAGGUGUAAGGGAAAGGGAAAAUAUUCUUCCUGGAUAGAGCUGUGAGCAGAGUGCUUGCUCACCUACCUUGUUGCACAAGAAAAAGUGGCCCAAGGUGGUGAGAAUAUAUACACCCUCUUGGGCAGUGGCCAAUGGUCUGGCCAUUUGUUCAGGGGCCUGGAAGGAAAAGGACUGGCAGAUUGGGGACAAGGAGGUGUGAGGUAGAGGCAUGUGGAUGGAUGCAGGAGAUAAAGCAUGAAGCGUGAGGGUUGCAGUACCACACACUAAUGCCCAUUAGAAAGCACUCGAAACAGAAGCAGCAGUGAAUAAGCAAGGAAAGAAAAUGUCUUGGACAGUUGACACAAGCCAGUCCUUGUCAUUGGCUACUCUGGAACUGGCAUGAUGGGCAUAUGAGUGGAAUGGCCACAGUGGCAGAGGCAGAAGCCACAGAGGGGCUAACAUGGGCCCAGCAGCACGGACUCCCUAGGAACUGCUGCCUCUGAAUGUCCAACCCAUCAGCAAAAGAGACCAGUGCUGAGCCCCUGCAGUGGCACUGUGUCUCAAGGAGCCCAACUCACCGCUUGAAGGCAAGUCAACUGCAUCAGGCUCCUUCCAUCCCGAAGCGUCAGCGGUUCACCCUCUUUGGGAAAGAGAUCUAUUAUGGGUUUGCCUUUCCUGACCACAGAGCCUCAGUCAGCACUGCUGUCCAGGGACUUACAGAACGCCUGAUCUGAAGGCAUGGAAUUCCACCCAGUACAGCAUUUGACCAGGGACACUGGAGGGUCCCACUGGACUAGACUAUGGCUGCCACCAGGGCACUUUGGAUUCCUUAUGUCCAGGGACCAGCCGGGGGACUUGACCCUGAUCAGCAGGAUUCAGGGCUGCUACUCCAUAAUGGGGACAGGAAGGAAUGUGUGCACCCAGGUGAUCCACUGAGCACUCCCAGAUGAUCCCCACUGUCAUCAUGAAAGGACAUGCGCAGCAACCCUGACCUGAGAAGGGUUUGAUUACCAAGCCUUGAGGUCCCCUUUCCCCCUUCCCCGGAAUGAAGGCUGGGGUCACACCACCAGGUGAGCCAUCAACCUCUGCCAAGGUUGCUGAGCGUGAGGAGGAUUCAGGAUGGAGGGUAGGGGAGGGAGAGGAUGAGACUAAAUACACCGACGGGGGUUGUAGUUAGUUCUACCAUCUCCCUUUCUCUCUUCUGAGUCUCCCUUAGGAACAGCCCAAGGGAAACAGGCAAGAGCUGCCCUCUGUAUCUGGUGGAGAAGCAGCACCGUGUGGCACAAGGGUGGACUGUGACAACCAUGAAGACUUCUCUCGGUUCUCUGGCUGCAGGGAUUGGAAGUGGCCGCCAGCGCCAGCUGCUGUAUCCUGAAAUCUAUUACUGAGUUUGCACUAAGAAUGCACUUCCUACGAGCUGCUGCCUGCCAGUGACUGAGCGUGGCGGGGAUCCUGGCAGGCCGUCCUCAGGAGAUUGCCGAUGGCUUGAGGACUUCUCACCUGCCUUGCCGAGCCUCAUUAGACCUGCCCUGCAGUCUAAGUCUCCUCCGCCCACCUCUCCUUCCUUCUCUCUUUCACAAGGUCACACCCGCACCAUGGUCUCCUGGCUCUCCCAGGCUCCCCUGCUUCCCUUCCAUUACAAUUUGAGAAGCACUGAUUUAGAUGAUUUUGUGUUUAAAUCCUUUAAAUCUCAGUUUGGAACCUGAGUCUUUGCAAAGGUAAACAGUUGGAAUCACAAAACCAUCUGGGUCCUUCAUUUUGUAGGUCAAAGCCCAGCAAAGUUAAGGCACUAGUUCAAAGUCACAUGGCGAACUAGAAUAGAGCCAGCACCCAGGGGUCUUACCCGCCAGCUCUUCCCACUGUAGGCUCUUCUGUGAGCAGGCUGCUUGCUCUAAAUGUGCAUUGUCUACUGUGGUAGCACCGGAAAUGUGGCUAGUUGUGGUGUAAUAAAAAAACACUUGGUCUUUGUCCUGGGUUCCUGGCCUGGAGUCCCUCAAACCCUUAGAAUCUCCUGGGUGAUGGCGUGUCUCUCGUUAUUCACAAGGAGCGCCUCUGACCACACCUGUGUUUAUGCGAACGAAGUGACUCACGGUGGGGCCCUAGAUAGCUUCAGGAUGGGCGCUGGUCAUUGGAAAGACCAAACAUGUGCAUGGAGGGUGGGAACUUGCAGCUUCAGGGGAGGCGGUGGGGGCUGGAGAAUGAGUUAUAAAAACUCUUGAACAAGAUUCAAAGAGCCCCCGGUUGGUGACCACAUUGAGACGCCGGGAGGGUGGAGGCCCCGGGAGGCAUGGAAGGUCUGCCCUCCCCCUUCUCCCACAGCCCUACGCCUCCUUCCCACGUGGCUGCUGCGGAGUGGUACCUUCAAAAUAAACUGAUAAACAAGUAAAGUGUUCUCUUGAGUUCUGUGAGCUCUUCUAAUCAUUGAACCUGAGGAGGGGGUUAUGGGAACCUCCCAAUUUAUAGCUGGUCAGUCGUAAGUAUAGGUGACCCCUGGGACUUGCACCUGGCAUCUAAAGUGGGGGCAGUCUUGUGGGAUGGAGUCCUAAACUGUGGAGCCAGCACUAACUCUGGGGAGUUCGCAUCAGAAUUGAAUGAAAUUGUUGGAUGCGCAGUUGGUGCUGGAGAAUUGGUGUGGAAAAAUGACAUGCAUUUGCUAUGAGAAGUGGUGUCAGGAAAAAGAUGACACACUAGUCCAAACAGAGAUGUGCUGUAAGUGUAAAACACACCCUGGAUUUUGAGGACUCGGUAUGAACAAAGAUUAUAAAAUAUUUCAUUAAUAAUUUUUUGUAUUGAUUUCAUGUUGAAAUAAUAAUUUUGAUGUAUUGGGUUAUAUAAAAUAUAUUAUUAAAAAUAAGAUAAAAUAUGUAAUUAAAAUGAACUUCAGGG
rnacentral:lncRNA from 1 species